UCCAAUUUGCUUAAUCCACCUGAAUACGAUAGGUUGUGCAUGCCGAAUCUUCAUUCGGACAUGAUCACAAGCCUUAAGAGUAUUGGACUUUAGGUUAGCAACAGUAGGUUUAUGCCUCUGUACCCACUCGGCUGAUAACUUUGCUACAGAAACCGCUGCAGUCCUUAUGAAUUUAAAAACCAUAGUUUCUGGGAACUCCACAUCUUCUGAGCCUUCAUCUCUAUGUGAUAAAUUGCCAGAACUAUUCAUAGUUUCUAAACCAUGAUCUUUAGACAACUCACUUUCAUCUCUUACAUUCGAAGCUUCGGCUGCAGAUUUACCACUCUUGUCUACCUCAGCAUCAUCAUUACAUGGCAUUGCAUGGCCUGUAACUGUCUCAUCCGCAACUUUUUUCUCUUUCUUGUGAGAUUUUUUAGAUUUUUUCUUACUGGUUUUACCAUCUUGAACAUGAUCCAUGUCAUUAAUGCUCUUUGUGGGAGGCGGAGAAUGGGUACCAUUUGGAAUUUCUUUGUCUAAACCCACAUUUUCUUCAUUCGCAUUACCUCUAUCUUUGCUAGUUAAAGGUGAAAGGCCAGGAUCUGUAACUCCUUUAUUAUGGCUUUGUGAGGGCUGAUCCAACCCAUUCUUUUGUUGGCUUCGUUUUCUAGCCAUCAUGCAAUGUUCUCAGUUAGAGAGGUAAGCUAGGAAUUGAGUUUAGCUCAUUGCUGAUGGCAUUACUAGAAGAAAAAAAAACCUGUCACAAUAAAAAACGGAGGAAAUUUAUAAUUUAUUCUUAUGGAAGUAUAUCGAGUAACUAAUGGAAAUUAAUUUUCUCGCAAUGAAAUGCUUGAUAUUGAUAUUGAAUCUACGAGGGAAAAAGUAAGUUGGUGCAAGAAAAGAUAAACUACAAAUUUGAAGGGGCAAAGGCAAUCCUAAGGGAUAAUUUUUUUAUUUUAUAUAAAGAUCAUUUGAUGCAGAAGCUGAGUACAUUUCAUAGUGAGUACGCCACGAUGUAAACAUCAUCGUAUUACUGAAUUAUGACAGUGGAACAACAAGCAGAAAGAGAGUGAUUAAAACUAUUAAUGUGAAUAUAAGUCUUGAGAACGAACACAAUCACAGAGUAACAAUCAUUGCGGACCAACAUUUAUCACAGAAAACAGAUUACAAACAUGUAUUCUCUAUCUUAUACAUCUCCAAUUCAUCACCGCCAAUUCCUAUCUAUCUUAUUCAUUUCCAAUUCAUCAAUGGCACAACAUAAAAACAAUCGCCCACGCACAAGAUAUCCAGACUAAUCAGAGCCACACUUAUCACCAUUCUAACUGCAAUUUCGCCCUGCUGAGGCGAGACUGCUCGGAUAAUCAUAUGAACUAGAUUUUUCAGUUAGGCAGAGAGAGAGACACAAGAUGAAUGAUUUUCUAGGGUUAUAAGCCUCUAAUUCUUUUUAAGCAUUAAAACCCCUAAUUCGCAAGCAAACGGAAAUUAACCAGAAAAAUAAAAAUUGCCUAAAUCUUUACCUAACUAUGAAAUUACGCCAAAACAAAAAAAAAAAACGAACGCCGGCAAAAUCGAAGAAUAAGCAGACGAAAACCUACCUGAAAGAGGUCGCAGAACGGAUGAACAGCAGAAAAAAUUACAGGAAAACAAAGGGGGAAAAGGGCAAAAAAGCCCGAGAAAAAAAAAACGCAACCUAUAAGCAGAAGUAAAGAGAGACGCAGUUCGUGUAUCUAUCUAUCUCUCUCUCUCUCUCUAAAAUUCUCUUCCCCUUCCUGGGUGGUGAUGGGUGGAGCCCGCGGAGACGAAGGAGCAGUCAGCAAAACUCAAACAAGCAAAUCAGCCAGCCAACCAAAAUCGGUUCAACAUUACUGAAUCUAUACCAGGGUAUACUUUUCUUUAUUUUUCCGUUUUGCUCCCCUCAACUUCUUUUAAUAUCGAUUUGACCCCAUUUAUAAUUGCAAAUCUCUAAUUAUUCACCACUUCGUUGGGGGUACUUUAGCCUAAUCGCCCUAAUCUUAUUUUCCAAUAAAAAGAAAAAGAAUCUCAUAAAAUUUAUAUUUAAGAAAAUUAAAAUACAAUUUCCAUAGUGUUCAUUUUAAUAAAAAUCUCGAUUUUUUUUUUAAUAAUUAAACUGUUUGAUUAUGUUGUGGGCCAACAAUCAAAAACAAAGGAUUGUUCGAUCAAUUGAUAACUUAGAUUUUUGAAGGCUUUUAAUGAAGCUAUUAUACCUCCAAAUUGAAUAAUUAUGACAUUUAUAGAGGAAUUUAUGACAACAUAAUAUAUANNNNNNNNNNNNNNNNNNNNNNNNNNNNNNNNNNNNNNNNNNNNNNNNNNNNNNNNNNNNNNNNNNNNNNNNNNNNNNNNNNNNNNNNNNNNNNNNNNNNAUCCAACCAAACCAUAAACAGAAGAAGCAUUAUAUUUCCAAUUUGCUUAAUCCACCUGAAUACGAUAGGUUGUGCAUGCCGAAUCUUCAUUCGGACAUGAUCACAAGCCUUAAGAGUAUUGGACUUUAGGUUAGCAACAGUAGGUUUAUGCCUCUGUACCCACUCGGCUGAUAACUUUGCUACAGAAACCGCUGCAGUCCUUAUGAAUUUAAAAACCAUAGUUUCUGGGAACUCCACAUCUUCUGAGCCUUCAUCUCUAUGCGAUAAAUUGCCAGAACUGUUCAUAGUUUCUAAACCAUGAUCUUUAGACAACUCACUUUCAUCUCUUACAUUCGAAGCUUCGGCUGCAGAUUUACCACUCUUGUCUACCUCAGCAUCAUCAUUACAUGGCAUUGCAUGGCCUGUAAAUGUCUCAUCCGCAACUUUUUUCUCUUUCUUGUGAGAUUUUUUAGAUUUUUUCUUACUGGUUUUACCAUCUUGAACAUGAUCCAUGUCAUUAAUGCUCUUUGUGGGAGGCGGAGAAUGGGUACCAUUUGGAAUUUCUUUGUCUAAACCCACAUUUUCUUCAUUCGCAUUACCUCUAUCUUUGCUAGUUAAAGGUGAAGGGCCAGGAUCUGCAACUCCUUUAUUAUGGCUUUGUG
rnacentral:lncRNA from 1 species